GCGGGUCCUCGGUGGAAGAUUUUGGGUCACGGCCCCAGAAUUUUUUACUGACGACCAGC
rnacentral:ncRNA from 1 species